CCUCUCGGUCUCGAAGUCUCAACUAUCAAGCCAGUAAAGUAAUCUUCUUCUUCACUAUUAGUUACUAUUGUUUCAUAGUUCAUACUGUUUUUUCAAUUUUUAUGUAUGUAUCGAUUUGUCUUUAUGUUCUGUUUUUUAUCUCUUUCAUUUUCUAUUCUGAUUUUAUUACAACAUCUAUUUCUGAUUUUAUUUAGGUUUUUUUCUAUUACAACAUCUAUUUCUGAUUUUAUUUAGGUUUUUUUGUUUGUUUUGGACCUUUGGUAGAUGGAAAACGAAACAGAGACAGUGAAUGAACCUUUGGUACAACAUCUAUUUCUGACUGUUGCGGCUUCCCAAAACAUGGAACUUGGAACUCUUUUGUUAUGUGUAAUAUUUUAAAGAACUGUUGGGACUUUAGUAGUUUGGUUUGUUUUAUUUUGCUAUGAAAAUUUGGUUUGAAAGACAAUUGAUUGUGUUUUGUUUUGGGGUCUUCAGUUUGGUUUACUGUCCAGUUGUGUAAAUUUCAGAUUGUUGUUUUGUUUUGUUAAGUUCGAACAUUGUUACUAG
rnacentral:lncRNA from 1 species